UUUAUUUCCGGGAUCGUCCAACUAGUUCAGAUGCGCAGCGGAACUUUAUUUCUGGGGCUCUCGCACAGUGGAAAGGUGCCAAGAUUCAGAAAUUCGGCAUAUUUUAUCAUCUAGAUUCUGAUUGUUAUAUCCAUUCUACUCAAUGUUCUUCUGAUAGUGAUGCCCAUUCUACUGAACAUUUAUCUGAAACUAGUAGGGAGUUUGAUUCGUGGCUGCUUCUUGCAAUCGAAAAACAAGUGGAAGAGCUAAUUAUAGAUAUGGGAUGUUACGUAUAUCAUCGAUUUUGUCAGCGGGAGUGUGAAUACUGCGCACCUCAGCGUUGGUAUUCAUGCUCAUCGAUUACAAAAUUAUCUCUUUUUCAAUGUAAGUUGAUUAUUGAGGGGAAUUGUUAAAACAUAGUAUUAUCAUUUUAGGAUUGAACCGAGAACAUAGAAGGAUAUAGAAGGAUGGAAGAAGAUUGUAUAUCUCUUUUUUUUCUUGUUAUUUCCUGCUGAUACAAUCAUCCCUUUUAUAGUAUUUAGAAGGGAGCUGAUAUUCAAUAUUACUUCUACAACAUCAUGAGGAUCCCUAUAAUUAAGGGAUCCUUUGUUAUCUUUUGACUAACUUUAUCUUUUGACUAACUUUAUUUGUCUGCUGCCUUUACUGACUUUUUUAUUCUCAACACUCCCCCUCAAGUUGAGUGACGGGAUUUCCGAUACUCAACUUGGAAAGAACUUCUGAAAAACUUUUGAAGUCUACAGCUUUGGUUAGGAUAUCAGCGAGUUGAUCUUCGGACCUCACAAACGGGAGCUCCACAAUCUUUUCCUCAAUCUUUUCCUUGAUGAAGUGCCUAUCCACUUCGACAUGUUUAGUUCUAUCAUGUUGAACUGNAACAUUAGGUUAGGGGCUUAAGUGUAGUUGGGGUGGUAACAUUAGAUGUAUUUUUGCAUAUUAACCAUUUAUUUAAUCAUUUCGUUUACUUAUAAAUAUCACGCGUUCAUCCUCAAAAUUCACACCACAAUUCAUAUAUUCCUUCUCCAUUUUUUCUUUUUAUUCAUUAUUCUACACAUGUUUCAUCUCAUUUGUUUCUCGAAAAAAUGGAGAGCAAUAUUUAUUCCCAUUUUAAAAUACAUUAAAUUAUAGAAAUGAAAACGAGAUUUUUAGAGCACAUUUUAAAACUCCACAGUAUGAAGAGACGGCACUCUUAAAUGGGCUCUUAUAUCUGUGGACUGCAUUUUGUAGCGAUCUGGUCCAAAUUGAAGAUCUCAAAACUAAAAUUUCGGUGGUUUAACGCGUAUAUGAUACUUCCUCUCCUUCCCCAAAUUUUGAAGCCGAAACUUCCCUCCCCAAAACCCCUAUAAACAUUUUGAAAGAAUUGGAUAGUUUUAAGACCUUGUCAAACAAUGGACAAGUCGCAGGAUUCGGAAUCAGACAGCCUCGAUCGACUGAGUGAGUUGCCCGAUUCCUUAAUCAUUUCGAUUCUUUCGUUGUUGUGGUCGACGAGAGAUGUUGUUAGGACAACCAUUCUCUCGAAACGUUGGAAAGAUGUGUGGACCACCGUCCCCUGUCUUUAUUUCCGGGAUCGUCCAACUAGUUCAGAUGCGCAGCGGAACUUUAUUUCUGGGGCUCUCGCACAGUGGAAAGGUGCCAAGAUUCAGAAAUUCGGCAUAUUUUAUCAUCUAGAUUCUGAUUGUUAUAUCCAUUCUACUCAAUGUUCUUCUGAUAGUGAUACCCAUUCUACUGAACAUUUAUCUGAAACUAGUAGGGAGUUUGAUUCGUGGCUGCUUCUUGCAAUCGAAAAACAAGUGGAAGAGCUAAUUAUAGAUAUGGGAUGUUACGUAUAUCAUCGUUUUUG
rnacentral:lncRNA from 1 species